rnacentral:rRNA from 1 species
UGGGGAAUAUUGCACAAUGGGGGAAACCCGUGAUGCAGCGACGCCGCGUGAGUGAAGAAGUAUUUCGGUAUGUAAAGCUCUAUCAGCAGGGAAGAUGAUGACGGUACCUGAGUAAGAAGCCCCGGCUAACUACGUGCC